rnacentral:rRNA from 1 species
AAUGAACGUUGGCGGCAUGGAUUAGGCAUGCAAGUCGAGCGCGAAACGUAGCAAUACGUGGAGAGCGGCGAAAGGGAGAGGAAUAUGUGGGAACCUACCUUCGGGCCUGGAAUAGCGGCGGGAAACUGCCGGUAAUGCCAGAUAACGUCCCCGGACCAAAGGUGUGAUUCCGCCUGGAGAUGGGCCCACAUCCUAUCAGCUUGUUGGUGUGGUAACGGCGCACCAAGGCUAAGACGGGUAUGGGGUGUGAGAGCAUGCCCCCACUCACUGGGACUGAGACACUGCCCAGACACCUACGGGUGGCUGCAGUCGAGAAUCUUCGGCAAUGAGCGCAAGCUUGACCGAGCGAUGCCGCGUGCGGGAUGAAGGCCCUCGGGUUGUAAACCGCUGUCGUAGGGGAAUAACGGUCGAUGGGUUCUCUCAUCGAUUUGAAUGAUCCUAGGAGGAAGGACGGGCUAAGUUCGUGCCAGCCGCCGCGGUAAUAC